AUAGCUCUCCAUGAUACCAAAGCAGAAAUAUUAAGAUGUAUGUUAGGUAGCUCACCACAUCUUUCUUCUCCAGAAAAAUUAACUAGCAUUUGAAGGAAGUAAACUGAGAAUGCCGAAAGUUAUGGGAUUUGUAAGCGUGAAGAGACUCCAGAAAGGAAAUCAUAACAUUUAAAAGAUCUUCACAUCAAAGAGUUACAUCUUUAGCAGAAGAUGAAGUAUUUGCUAGAAACUUUUUAUCAGAUGAUCAU